rnacentral:rRNA from 1 species
UGGGGAAUAUUGGACAAUGGGCGCAAGCCUGAUCCAGCCAUGCCGCGUGAGUGAAGAAGGCCCUAGGGUUGUAAAGCUCUUUCAACGGUGAAGAUGAUGACAGUAGCCGUAGAAGAAGCCCCGGCUAACUCCGUGCCAGCAGCCGCGGUAAUACGGAGGGGGCAAGCGUUGUUCGGAAUUACUGGGCGUAAAGGGCGCGUAGGCGGUCUGUUGCGUCAGGUGUGAAAGCCCCGGGCUCAACCUGGGAGGUGCACUUGAUACGGGCGGACUGGAAUCCGAGAGAGGAUGGUGGAAUUCCCAGUGUAGAGGUGAAAUUCGUAGAUAUUGGGAAGAACACCGAUGCGAAGGCAGCCAUCUGGCUCGGUAUUGACGCUGAGGCGCGAAAGCGUGGGGAGCAAAACAGGAUUAGAUACCCUGGUAGUCCACGCCGUAAACGAUGUGUGCUAGCCGUCGGUCAGCUUGCUGUUCGGUGGCGCCGCUAACGCAUUAAGCACACCGCCUGGGAGUACGGCCGCAAGGUUAAAACUCAAAUGAAUUGA